AGCCUGGCCAACUUAGUGACUUAGCAGGACCUUGUCUCAAAAAUAAAAAUAAAUGGUAUACCACCACCACCACCACCCCCACUGCUAAAUUUGACUGGCUUUAA
rnacentral:Y_RNA from 1 species